GGUUGGACAGGAAUGAAAAGAGAACAUAGAGAUGAGACCAGAAAUGUGGACCUGCUGACCUUGGUAUUGUGGGAUCCUGACACAUACAUUCUCCAGAUUCACUGAGCUAUCACUGGGUGGGCUCUGAGGAGGUUCCUAUGAGGAAAAUAGGGACCUCAGCUUGCCGCCACCACCCACAGAGUAGGCUCAUAGAAUUUCAUCGCAGAAAAGAAUUCAUGACAUACCAAUGAGAAGCAGAAUUAAAUGUGUAUAUGCUCAAAGGAGAACAAUUCUGUGAGAUAUGCACUUCUACUAUCUGCAUUUCGAAGACACAGAAACUGAAGUGUGGAGAGAUGAAUCUGUUUGCCAGAGGUAAAAGUGGUAAACAUAGAAAACAACUGAAGAUAUUCCAAAGGAACACCCAGUAUGGCGAUUAGGAGACAGAACUUUGGAAACCGCACACUCUGGACUAACUCCCAGCUCUUCACCUCUUAGCUGUAUGAUCUUACGAAGUUGCAUAUUUAGACUCAGGUGAAUCAUCUAUAAAAUGGGGACAAUAAUUCCUAUCUCACAAUAUUAUGAAUAACGAAAAACUCAAUAAAAUGAGUUCAUAUGCAUAAAGUACUUAAAACUGUUUCCAGCAUAUUGAUAAUGCCCCUCUUAAUAAAUAAUCUAUUAUUCAAAUAUUUAUAUUAUCUAGAGCACAUGGGAUAGUGUUUCUACCUGUAAAUUUCAAUUCAAACUUCACAAUUAUAUUAACUCAUAAAGUCAAGCAUAGACUGCCGGUACAUCUCUCUUAGUUACUUUUCUCUUCUCUGAGAAAUACCUAACACCCAAAGUUAAAGGAG
ensembl:lncRNA